CCGACGGUGAGGGAUGAAGCUGGGGGCGCAAACCGGAUUAGAUACCCGGGUAGUCCCAGCAGUAAACGAUGCCAGCUAUGUGUUGCUGGAACCAUGGGUUCCAGCAGUGCCGAAUGGAAGCCGUGAAGCUGGCCACCUGGGAAGUACGGUCGCAAGGCUGAAACUUAAAGGAAUUGGCGGGGGAGUACCACAACCGGUGGAGCCUGCGGUUUAAUUGGAUACAACGCCGGGAAUCUUACCGGAGGGGACAGCAGUAUGAAGGCCAGGCUAAAGACCUUGCCAGAUCAGCUGAGAGGAGGUGCAUGGCCGUCGCCAGUUCGUACCGUGAGGCAUCCUGUUUAGUCAGGCAACGAUCGAGACCCGCAGUCUUAUUUGCCAGCAUGCCCUUUGGGGUGUAUGGGUACAAUAAGACGACCGCCAGCGCUAAGCUGGAGGAAGGAGCGGGCUACGGUAGGUCAGCAUGCCCCGAAUCCUCCGGGAUACACGCGGGCUACAAUGGUCAGGACAAAAGGUACCGACCUCGAAAGAGUGAGGUAAUCCACAAACCUGAUCUCAGUCCGGAUCGAAGGCUGCAACUCGCCUUCGUGAAGAUGGAAUCGGUAGUAAUCGUGACUCAAGAUGUCACGGUGAAUAUGUCCCUGCUCCUUGCACACAC
rnacentral:rRNA from 1 species